UUCAGCAGAGAUGGGAUGGGCCAGCCUGUUUAGCUUAUUAUUGCUUACAUACAAUGUGCAACUACUUGAGAUGCUGGUCAAACGUGUUUGCAGACACACUGCCUAUUAUCCCGAACAAAAUCCCUUCCUCUGCCGUGUCUGAGUCCUGCAUAACAUGAUACUGCACUACCACAUUCCACCUGUCACUGCGGUCCAGAUGAUCUGCUUAAAUUUAAU